rnacentral:rRNA from 1 species
UACGGAGGGUGCGAGCGUUAAUCGGAAUUACUGGGCGUAAAGAGCGCGUAGGUGGUUUGGUAAGUCGGAUGUGAAAGCCCUGGGCUUAACCUGGGAAUUGCAUUCGAUACUGCCGGACUAGAGUAUGGUAGAGGGAAGCGGAAUUCCCGGUGUAGCGGUGAAAUGCGUAGAGAUCGGGAGGAACACCAGUGGCGAAGGCGGCUUCCUGGACUAAUACUGACAAUGAGGCGCGAAAGCGUGGGGAGCAAACAGG